rnacentral:rRNA from 1 species
AUUGAACGCUGGCGGCAGGCCUAACACAUGCAAGUCGAACGAGUGGCGGACGGGUGAGCCACGUCUGGGAAACUGCCUGUUGGAGGGGGAUAACUCCUGGAAACGGUAGCUCAUACCGCAUACCAUCGGCUUUGCCCAGAUGGGAUUAGCUAGUAGGUGGGGUAAAGGCUCACCUAGGCGACGAUCCCUAGCCGGUCUGAGGGGAUGACCAGCCAGACUGGGACUGAGACACGGUCCAGACUCCUACGGGAGGCAGCAGUGGGGAAUAUUGCGCAAUGGGCGCAAGCCUGAUGCAGCCAUGCCGCGUGUGUGAAGAAGGCCUUCGGGUUGUAAGGCACUUUCAGCGAGGAGGCGUUACUCGCAGAAGAAGCACCGGCUAACUCCGUACCAGCAGCCGCGGUAAUUC